ACUAUUGCGUGUUCAAAUAAUUAUAAAACAUAGGGAGUUUAAUGAAUUAUAUAUUUUUAUUUGCAGUUUAAGUAUAUUCUCCUCCCCUCCCCCAGAAAAAGUUCUUUUUUUUUUCUUUGAAACUUUGUUUUACUCAAGGGUCCUCAUUAGAGCACUAACCUCACUUCAUCAAGAUCCACCCUCAGCUGAACUACCUCCCACUUCCUCAGCUGCUAAAAGAAAGCUUUGGCCACUGGCUGGACAUCUCUUUUUCCUGAAAAAGCAGAUGUAUCUGAAAAUCUUUGCUGCCAUCCGCUUCUCUUGGCUGCUAUUCUGCUUCUACCUGGAUGAAGACAUACAAUAUAUCUCUGAACCCUUCUAGCCUGGCAACACCUGCCAAAGCUUGAGCUCCAGCGACAUAACUUUUGGCCACCCAGGAUCACUUCCAUGCCAAGAUGAAGCACUGGAGGGGAACUUCGAUGGAAGUGACCCUGGGUUUCAUCUAGUACCUCUGUCAUCAAAGGAAAUGAAGUUAAGCUGGCAACACUUGUUCUUGAUCAGUCCUAGAGGCAGCUGGAUAGCACAGUGGACCUGGAGUUCUGAAUUCCAGGAUGGAGGGUAUGGAAGCAGUUCAGCCCAUGGACAGGAGCAAAGACUAUAAAGUUAAGGCAUCUGGUUAAUAUUUAAUUCUUCACAUAAAUUCACACAUCUGAGCAGAGGACAAGCCCAUCGGGCUGGACAUGACAAAGAAAUACAUUGUGUACCUAUUCCCUGCACGUCAAUCCACGUUUCCAUGACAACUGGCUUGCUUCGGCAGCUUUGAAAAGGAGGUCAU